GGGGACUUCGAUUUGUCGGAAGCUAAGUGGACUAACGGCACCUGUGCUUAAAAAUCUAAUGCAGCUACAUAUUGCGAAUUGAAAACGUUGACUGACGUGCCUGGACCAUGCAGUACGUUUGAAAACCUACACCAGACUUCCCGUGAGCGCCCAGUGUGAGGGGUCCCACUGACUUUUGGUUCCCAUCGAGUCCUGACUGUACCCCUGAUUUCAAGCAAAUAACCGCAUUUCCAAAUGUGCGCUCAGCACCAAUGGCGAAUCGACAGUCGGCAGACGCACCAGAAAGCAGUUGCGAGAUAACAGAUCGAUUGUUGACUUGCACUGCGAACGCCGGUGGUUGAAAAAGUGCGGCAAGCAUCGAC